CAGAAGCUUCACUGGGCCCUAAAAGGCAACAUGAUCAAAGUUCAGCUACGCUUUAUUCUCUCCCUGCUCUGGCUCACAGACAUGAUCCUCAGCAGUAAUGUCCAGCAGACUCCUUCUGAUCUGAUUCAACCUGAAGGAGAUACGGUGGAGCUCAAGUGUCUACACAUCAUACAAAACUACAACAUCAUAUUGUGGUAUAAAAACAGUGCAAACCACACAUUUGAAUUAAUGGGAUAUCUCUGGAAUAAAAAAGACUAUGUAGAGCCUAAUUUUACAGAGAAAAUUGGAAUGAAAGGAGAUGCGAAUAAGAACGGUUCUCUCAUUAUCAAGAAUCUUUCAUCAGCUGACAGUACAGAGUAUUUCUGUGCUGCCAGUUUCCACAGUGACACAUACGAUUUCACCUCUGCACAAAAACUUUCCCUGUAA